UGGGUGUACCUAAAGUCGGUAACCGCAAGGAGCCGCCUAGGGUAAAACUAGUGACUGGGGCUAAGUCGUAACAAGGUAGCCGUAUCGGAAGGUGCGGCUGGAAUACCUCCUUUUUAGAG
rnacentral:rRNA from 1 species